UCCCUGUUACCAGGGCAGUCUAGCUAGAGAAAUUCAACUAACUAAAAGGGUUGCGCUCGUUGAUGGACUUAACCAAACAUCUCACGACACGAGCUGACGACGGCCAUGCAUCACCUGUCACUUGGCUCAAUAAAGCACUCUCGCCUUUCGGCAAAAUUCCAAGGAUGUCAAACCUGGGUAAGGUUCUUCGCUUACCAUCGAAUUAAACAACACGCUCCACCGCUUGUGCGGGUCCCCGUCAAUUCCUUUAUGUUUUAGUCUUGCGACCGUACUCCACAGGCGGGAUGCUUAACGCGUUAGCUUCGCUACUAGAAGGGUCGAUACUUCUAACAGCUAGCAUCCAUAGUUUACGGCAUGGACUAC
rnacentral:misc_RNA from 1 species